rnacentral:lncRNA from 1 species
UUAAUACCUUUCUUUUUUUUCCUUCCUUUUUUGAGACGGAGUCUCGCUCUGUCACCCCGGCUGGAGUGUGGAGUGCAGUGGUGUGAUCUUGGCUCACUGCAAGCUCCGCCUCCCAGGUUCAUGCCAUCCUCCUGCCUCAGCCUCCCGAGUAGCUGGGACCACAGGCAUGCACCACCAUGCCCGGCUAAUUUUUGUAUUUUUGGUAGAGACAGGGUUUCACCACGUUGGCCAGGCUGGUCUCAAACUCCUAGGGUUCAGAGGCUUGGGAUGGUAAUACUCACUUGAUAUUUCACUUCAGUAACACACCCUUUCUCUCUCCAGUCCACAGAAUCAGGCAAUAUCCGAUUAGGGUUUGACUUAUAUGUGAUAUUUCUCUGCCACUGGCUGGGAACUCUCAGGGAACUCAUCAAAGACAUCACUUCUUCACUGGUCGACUUUAUAAACACGGUGCACUUAGGCUACACUAAAUUUGUUAAAACAUUUUUCUUUCUUCAAUAAUAAAUUAACCUUAGUUUAAUGCAACUUUUUUACUUAAUAAACUUUUAAUUUUUUAAAUGUUUUGUCUUUAAUAGUAACCCCUUAAAAUACAAACACAUU